CACGUAGGCACCAAGCGUUGUCCGGAUUUAUUGGGCGUAAAGAGCUCGUAGGCGGUUCGGUAAGUCGGGUGUGAAAACUCUGGGCUCAACCCAGAGCCGCCACCUGAUACUGCUGUGACUAGAGUGCGGUAGGGGAGCGGGGAAUUCCUGGUGUAGCGGUGAAAUGCGCAGAUAUCAGGAGGAACACCGGUGGCGAAGGCGGGUCUCUGGGCUGAUACUGACGCUGAGGAGCGAAAGCGUGGGGAGCGAACAGG
rnacentral:rRNA from 1 species